rnacentral:rRNA from 1 species
AGGGAAUCUUCCACAAUGGACGCAAGUCUGAUGGAGCAACGCCGCGUGAGUGAAGAAGGCUUUCGGGUCGUAAAACUCUGUUAUUGAAGAAGAACGUGCGUGACAGUAACUGGUCAUGCAGUGACGGUAUUCAAUCAGAAAGUCACGGCUAACUACGUGCCAGCAGCCGCGGUAAUACGUAGGUGGCAAGCGUUGUCCGGAUUUAUUGGGCGUAAAAGCGAGUGCAGGCGGUCUUUUAAGUCUGAUGUGAAAGCCUUCGGCUUAACCGAGGAAGGGCAUCGGAAACUGGGAGACUUGAGUGCAGAAGAGGAGAGUGGAACUCCAUGUGUAGCGGUGAAAUGCGUAGAUAUAUGGAAGAAACACCAGUGGCGAAGGCGGCUCUCUGGUCUGUAACUGACGCUGAGGCUCGAAAAGCGUGGGUAGCAAAACAGGAUUAGAUACCCUGGUAGUCCACGCCGUAAAACGAUGAAUACUAAGUGUUGGA